rnacentral:rRNA from 1 species
UCCUGGCUUAGGACGAACGCUGGGCGGCGUGCCUAACACAUGCAAGUCGAGCGAGUCAGUAAGAGGAAGCUUUCGGAUGGAAUCUUGUUGAUUUAGCGGCGGACGGGUGAGUAACGCGUGAGCGACCAACCUUGCACAGGGGGAUAACGGACCGAAAGGUUCACUAAUACCGCAUGAGACCACGGUGUUGCAUGACACAGAGGUCAAAGGAGCAAUCCGGUGCAAGACGGGCUCGCGUCCGAUUAGGUAGUUGGAGGGGUAACGGCCCACCAAGCCUAUGAUCGGUAGCCGACCUGAGGGGGUGAUCGGCCACAUUGGAACUGAGAUACGGUCCAAACUCCUACGGGAGGCAGCAGUGGGGAAUAUUGGGCAAAUGGGGGAAACCCUGACCCAGCAACGCCGCGUGAAGGAAGAAGGUUUUCGGAUUGUAAACUUCUGUCCUUGGUGAAGAGAAGAAGACGGUAGCCAAGGAGGAAGCCCCGGCUAACUACGUGCCAGCAGCCGC